rnacentral:rRNA from 1 species
AUGGCGCUAAGCGUGCUACCUAUACCCUGCCGGAAGAAACAGAAAAGCUCUCCGAGUAAGGCAGGCGUGGGGGUGGUGUGGAAGGGUGCUUGUGAAGGUGCCUGGAACCGCCCCUAGUGCAGAUCUUGGUGGCAGUAGCAAUAUUCAACGGAGCCGUUGAAGACCGAAGUGGGGAAAGGUUUCCACGGGAAGGGAGAUCCUCCGUGGGUGAGACGGUCCUAAGGGCGCGCGUACGGUAGCGUCCGAAAGGGAAGACAGUCAAGAUUCUGUCUCCGGGGGAAUGAGUGGUGACACGAGACGGCCAAAGACGGUGGCGGAAGGCGUAGGAGGAGUUUUCUUUUUCUUCUUAAGGGCGUUGUGCCUGGAUGGUUUAGCCGGCGAAGGGCAGUAAAACCCGAAGAGCGUGCCCCUAGUUGGUGCGUCUACGCAUCUCCGACAUCCCGUGAAAAUUGGUUUAUUUAUGUUUAUUUCCCCGCCCGUACUGACAACCGCAGCAGGUCUCCAAGGUGAACAGCCUCUGGUGAUAGAACAAUGUAGAUAAGGGAAGUCGGCAAAUUGGAUCCGUAACCUCGGGACAAGGAUUGGCUCUGGGGGUCGCUUUAUCGACCAACCCCAGAACUGGUACGGACAAAGGGAAUCUGACUGUCUAAUUAAAACAUAGGGUGGUGCGAGUCCCAACGGAUGUGCACACCACCUGAUUUCUGCCCAGUGCUCUGAAUGUCAAAGUGAAGAAAUUCAUCCAAGCGCGGGUAAUACGGCGGGAGUAACUAUGACUCUCUUAAGGUAGCCAAAUGCCUCGUCAUCUAAUUAGUGACGCGCAUGAAUGGAUUAACGAGAUUCCCACUGUCCCUAUCUACUAUCUAGCGAAACCACAGCCAAGGGAACGGGCUUGGCGCGUCAGCGGGGAAAGAAGACCCUGUUGAGCUUGACUCUAGUUUGGGCCGUGGGGGAACAUGGGGGGUGUAGUAUAGGGGGGAGCCGUUUCGGCGGCGCCCGUGAAAUACCCCCACCCCUAUAGUUCCUCCACUAAUCGCAGAGAAACCUCCAGGCGGGGAGUUUGGCUGGGGCGGCACAUCUGUUAAACCAUAACGCAGAUGUCCCAAGGGGGGCUCAUGAAGAACAGAAAUCUUCAGCCGAGCAAAAGGGCAAAUGCCCCCUUGAUUUUGAUUUUCAGUGUGAAUACAAACCAUGAAAGUGGUGGCCUAUCGAUCCUUUACACCCUUCAGACCCUGAGGCUAGAGGUGCCAGAAAAGUUACCACAGGGAUAACUGGCUUGUGGCAGUCAAGCGUUCAUAGCGACAUUGCUUUUUGAUUCUUCGAUGUCGGCUCUUCCUAUCAUACCGAAGCAGAAUUCGGUAAGCGUUGGAUUGUUCACCCACUAAAUAGGGAACGUGAGCUGGGUUUAGACCGUCGUGAGACAGGUUAGUUUUACCCUACUGAUGAGCCCCACGGCAGUAAUUGAACUUAGUACGAGAGGAACCGUUCAUUCGGACAUUUGGUUUUUGGGGCUGCCUGACAAAGCAGCCCGACGCUACGUCCGUCAGAUCAUGGCUGAACGCCUCUAAGUCAGAAUCUGUGCUGGGGUGGGGAGGAGUGUACAAGAAGGAUAUAUUUUCAUAGCAGCAUUCCACAAUCUCCCGCCCACGACUUGACCCCGACAGGGUAUUGUACGCAGAAGAGUGGCCUUGCCGUCACGAUCUGCUGAGAUUAAGCCCCGGUCGAGCGAUUGGAACUUCCAUACCGAAGGACGAGCCUAGACCCCACCGAGCGCAGCGAAGGUGGUGGUCGUGGCUCGUUCCGAAGACGGUUAACCAAGCGGUACCAAGCGAGCGCAGCGACGCUGGUUGGUGAACUUGUAUUCUUCCACCAACAGUCAACCACCAGUCAACUACCCACCAAGCGUACCAAGCAACCGCAACAACGCUGGUUGGUGAACGCAAAAUCUCCACCAGUCAACCACGCCCCGUCGUACCCCGACAGACCCUCCUUGUUGAGUCCAACAGGCGGCCCUGUCCUGCUCCGCUCCCGUGGCCUGCCGUUCCAUUGACCACCUGGAUCUGUGAGGAUUGUCCUGGACUUGAGAUUCUCCUUAGAAGUCCUCACGUGACACCUCCACUUCCAAAAAACUGUCCCACCUGGACUUGCACUUGCACUUGCACGCACUUGAAAAACUAUAGGAACUUGAGACCUUCACCUGACCUCACCUUGACUCCCUCAGCAUCACCCCCCAGCUGCGCUCCGCUCGCCGGACCAUCUCCCCGCCGGAUAGUCUCCCGCGGUUGGACUUGCCAUCAUCUUGACUCCCCCAGCUGCGCUCCGCUCGCCGGAUGAUCUCCCGCCGGAUAGUCUCCCGCGGUUGGACUUGUUGUUUUUUUCUCUUGCCGCAGAGUUUUUCUCCAGCUUACAUAAUACACAUCCCAGAUAAGAUAAGAUACCAGACAAAAGAAGACACCAACAAGAUAAGACCACACAUUACGCGUGGACCGUGUACUAAACACGUCCAGUCGACGCGUCAGUCUCAACAUCAUCAUGCCGAGUGCCGAUCAAAGACCAACCGAAAGCCGACGACACCAACCAACCCGUCCUGGACUCGAACCUGGAACUCAGUCAACCUCAAGUUCUGAGCCAUCUGAAUGACCAGGCUCGAACCUAGUACUACGCCUGGAUCGCCAAAAACGACUGCGUCGCAAGCUUUCCCAGUUGUCCACUAGGCCACAAGAGUGGAUUCGAAAUAUUCUUGCUAAGCUGGGCCAAGUCAGGUUGGGUUUUUGACACGUGAGUAGUCAUGUGAUCCACAUUAGAAUCCAAUUAUCUCUACAACCAGACAUGGUGGCCACAAGUUAGCUAUUACGUUGUGGUUGCAAGGUGAUACUCCAUUGCACUGAACCCACCAAUUGGAGUUUGCUAGGAAAAAGUGAGAAAAAUACCCUAAAUAUUUUGAAAAGUCAACUAGUAAUCUUUGGAAGAGUUGUGAGAAAAUCUUAAAAACGAAAAAAAUGAAAAUGAAUUUUCAACAUCCUUAAAUAUUAGGAAAAACGGUAACCUAACUACAUGGAUCGAAAGAGUGGGUCAUGAGGAGUCGAAUGGUAGUGCAAUCUUCUGGCUACUGUGUCUGUAGACCCCAAGUUUUGUCGUUUGAAAUUUUUCUGCUUACAUAACUGUUUACGUAACCCGCUUACAUAAUUGUCCAGAUUGCUUACAAAGCUGCUUACCUAACUGGUUUCGAGCUUACAUAAGUGUUCAAAGCUUACAUAAUGGGUCAAUCUGCUUACAUACUGGGCUCGAGCUUACAUAAGUAUUCAAAGCUUACAUAAUGGUCGAAGCUUACAUAACUGGGCUCGAGCUUACAUAAGUAUUCAAAGCUUACAUAAUAGAUCAAUCUGCUUACCUAACUGGUCUCGAGCUUACAUAAUGGCCAAAGCUUACAUAACAGUUUACGUAAACCACAAGCUUACAUAAUGGCCAAAGCUUACAUAACAGUUUACGUAAACCACAAGCUUACAUAACAGUUUACGUAAACCACAAGCUUACAUAAUGGUCAAAGCUUACAUAACAGUUUACGUAAACCACAAGCUUACAUAAUGGUCAACCGCUUACAUAAGUGCUCACUUACAUAAGCGUUCACUACAUAGCAUUCACCACCUCAACCCAUUUUGGUGUAUUCUGAUGUUGGGGUUCUCAAACUCCGGAUCAGGGCCUGAACCGCAGAAAUCAGCGCUUUCCCCGCCUGGGAUUUGCAUGUUUGCCCUGUAAUCUAAAGUUCCCCUUCCAGCGAAACAUUCUUCCCGCCCAGAAUGCCCAGCAAGGCAAUUCGCGGAUACUUGUCCCAUCUCACGGUCUGAAAAAUCGUAAGUCGAAAUCGCACAUUUGUUAGGGACGUCUCGCGCACACCAGACUCCUAACAAACAGUCGACCAAUUCACUCCGCUAGUCCACCCAACGCAUAUCCACCUAGUCUAGUUUU